GGUACCUGAAAAGGGUUCAGCCACACUGCAUGUCUUUUCCUCAUGACAUAUGUAACAUGGUCUACUUCUUUUCGAGUAUC
rnacentral:pre_miRNA from 1 species